UCUCCGUAGGUGAACCUGCGGAGGGAUCAUUACAGAGUUCUCGACCUCGCGGGUAGUUCUCCCAUCCACUGUUAUCGUUACUGUCGUUUCUUUGUCGGGCCGUGGGGUCUCUGGCCGGCGGCGUUCAAUAGGCGGCGCGCGCUCGCCAGAGGCCUGCGAACCCUGAAAGUUAGUGCCGUCUGAGUACUAUAUAAUAGUUAAAACUUUCAACAAAGGAUCUUUUGGUUCUGGCAUCGAAGAAGAUCGCACCAGACCGGAAUAGCACACGUGAGAACUCCA
rnacentral:misc_RNA from 1 species